UCGUGCUAGACGGGGAGAUAGCGGUGCCCUAUACCCGCAAUCCGCUAUAGCGGGGUUGAAUUCCUGUUUAGAGUUGACCUUAGUGUCUCUGGUUUUGAGUGUUGUGUUGAGAAUUAGGCCCUGCGCAACGGUUUCCUGUGAACCCCGUCAGGUCCGGAAGGAAGCAGCGGUAAGCAGUGCAUUCUGUGUGCCGCAGGUUAGCCUAGUUUGAGCAAGAUUCAUAUAACUAUGCACUGAGUAAUCAGCGCAAAGGCAGGUGCACGA
rnacentral:SRP_RNA from 1 species